ensembl:lncRNA
CUAUCCUGUGAGCUAUAAACAAAACAGAGAUGAGGGAAGGACACUACUGAUUCUGAUACAGACUCUGCAUGUGACUGCAAAACCACUGGCACCAAAACACAAAACUUCAAAAGUGAGAACCACAGAGAGAGGAGAGGGAGGGAUGGGGAGGUUGAACUGUGGAUCUCAUCGAUUGGGUCGUCUAUCUCAGAUGUCGCUGGUUGCCAUGGAGGCUUUAUCUCUGAGAUGCUGCUCCAUGUAACAGAUCUGGUGGUGGUUACCGGUGCACUCUCCCACAGUGUUUGGCAAUGGUAGAACUCACUCUGGUGAGUUGGAAGGAUCCGGUGGUUCUAGACUUGCCAACAACUGACUGAGAGCUUUUGCCCAUUCACCCUCCACAAGGGGACUCACUGCAGGACAAGGUGCUUGGAAAAGGGCCAUAACCUUUUUUUUAAAAAAUCCUGGUGUCAAAAAAGGUCAGCAGGUUCAGGUGUCGCUUGUGUGAGUGACUGCAGGCGGAGCAGCAUGGGGUUAAAACUGAUGAUCCCCCCCUGAGCGUUCUUGCAGUCUCAGAACACUUUAGAAAUCUGCAAGGAUGGAGAAAAUUUCCAAUAUUUGGAAGGAACAAGACACAAGGACAAACACUUCUGAAGUCCACCCAGUCUGUCUCUAAACCUCCUGAAGCUGCGAUGCUUCUCAGAGUUUUCUUGAACGCGGUUUGUCGAUCACAAUAUCUAACUCUUCUGUAAUCUCAGGCCUUAAACACUCAAAGUACGAACCAAAGGACACUUUGAUUAUCAGGCCAUGAGACAAUAAUCCAUGUGCAGACCAUUAAGCUUUGAACUGACAAUCAUUUGCCCUGAUUGAGAAAUCAGUAGUGCUCGUUUGUCUGAAAGGAGCAGCUGUAAAUAGCUGUAGCUGCAAAUCUGCUAACAGCAGCAGCAGAUACAGAAGCUGUGCUGAUGGUGCAACCAGAUCUUUCUCAGUCAGGAAAGAACUGAAGUGAAGCGGUGCAAAAUGAUGUUAAACUGAGGCUAGAUGCAUUUGUUACAUUCACAGGGUUGUAACUAUCUUUGAGGGCUUGCAAUAAAAUCCUCAGUUCUACUUUCGGGAAGUUAAAGAGACAAAAGGUGAUGCUUACAAUCUGCAGUUUAACAUACAGUGCACAUAGUGAUAGUGACGUUUGAUAUGUACACUUUUUGAGACCUCUACAUGUUAAAAUAAAGAGUUUAUAUUUCUGAAAUUAUGAUUUUUUGGGAGACUUCCAAGUAAUAAUCGAACCUUUAUGUAGAGAUAGUAUGUUUAAACAGUUAAAUAAACGUCCAAAACAUAAAACAGGUGUUUUACAGCUUGGAAAAUUCCAAUAAAAUGUAUCUAAAAUCUGUUAUGAAAUGAAAUUUGUCUUUAAAUGUUUCCAUCAUUAAACGUAUUAUGUAGAUUUCAGUGUUUCUAUAACGUAAGUAUGCAGAUGUACAAAAAUGAUUUAGCUAAACACCUGAAUUUGAAUAAAAAUGAAGUCAAAACUAGGAAGAACACAUGGUUUAAGAGUGAUGUGGAGAAAAGUGAAAAAUCUGUGUUCUUAAUUUAACACGUCCAUAAAGUAGCUUAAGCUUAUACUGAAGUACAGCGCAUUCAUAAAAGGACAAAACAUAUAGCUGGCAGGGCUUCAUCUGUGCAGCACCGCCGGAGCAAUGAGCGGCUGAUGUAUGUUCAUCAUGUUUCAGUCCGAAUGCCGUGAGAGUCCAUUAUGGCCGACUGCAGAGGACCUGAGGUUAAGUGGUGCCAGAAGAGAGAGGAAAGAGGGAGGCCGACAUGCUGACAGCUGGUACGAGUGAUUAGACCGUGCAGUGAUGCAGGGAAGGCAUCAAAGCUCUUUAGGGAGAAUCCCUUAGUGGGAGGACACAAUGAUACACACACACACACACACACACACACACACACACACACACACACACACACACACACACACACACACACACACACACACACACACACACACACAGAGGAAUGAAAUCCUGAUACACAACUUCCUGGUUGCUAAAACUGCUUACAAACUCAGCUUACCACAUCCAACAGCAUAGGCUGCACUGACCAUCUGUCUUCUGCAGAUGCAUCACCAACCAAUGGAUUAUCAGCAGCUCUGCCCUAGGACACACACCCCUCUUUCACACACAUACUAACCCCCCUCUGAUUUCGAGAGUCUGGUAAUACAACAGAAUGAGUGGUAUCAUUAGAUUAGAUUGGGUGUGGAAGUUAUGGAAGGAUCUCCUCAUUAAUCACACGCGCUAAUGGCAGUUUAAUAGCUGUUGUCUCAACUGCUUCUUUCCGUUGUACAUCACUGUGCAGCUCCUCUGUUACAAUAAAAGUGUUUUAAUCUCAACAGGAUGGUAAGUGUUGAUUCAUUUGAGAUUAUCUCACAAUACAAACGACCAAAAAAUGCUUGAGGAAGUCAAAGAAAAGCUGGGAUUUGGAAGCAAAACUUGUUUUUCGGGUAAAUUUUAUUGUUACGUUAUCAGAGUAUUAGAUGCAGCAUUGUGAGCUUUAGUCUGCUGCCAUAAAGAAUCGUAUUAUAUAGUUAAAGAAGUAUAGAGGCCAUGCACUAUAAACACACACGCGUACAAAGAGGAAGACUGGAUUACAAUAAUCCAGGGACUGGGGGUAUUUUUAGGACUACAUGACCAGAGGCAGACACUUGAGGAAAACAGAUAAUCACUGUCAUAUGACCAGCUGGAUUUUCUGGAUAUACAGUUAAUUACGUAGUGUCUGCGAGGAACACAUGUAGAGCGAAUGAUGUCAGUACAAAAUUAUUUUGACUGCCUCCCUUAGUUAUGUUGCAAUAAGUCAGGGCUGCUGGGGGCUUUAUAUUAGCAAGCCAAAGUGCUCAUAUGGGGUCUAAUUGUUGGGGUUUCUAUGUUUCCCAUGUUUCCCAAGUACUAAGUAAAUUGUUACACUACUCACUACAGUACUUUCUCAUUACUCCAUAAAAUGACCUCAAAUGCAAUGUCUCAUAACUAUCACGUAACAAUAUAAAACUUUAGGCUACAGUCCCACACACUAAUACCAACAUGAAUCCCUAUCCUAAUGAAGACACAUGUACAAUCUUUCUUUUAGUAUUUACAUAUGAACGUGAAGGUGUGACAACAAAAGUAAAGAUUAAAAAAAUCUUUACUUUUGUUUGAACUUAUUGUGAUUGUUUCUGUCCUGGCAACAGUUUGCCCGUUACCAUCACACUUUUGUCCCUUUUCUGGAAUAAAAAUAAAAGUGCUGUCUAUAUUUCUGCUCCUGAAAAGCUGUGUCUCUGUACUGCGCCACAAUUUUCCUCCUCCAGCAUACGAAAUGAAAGCAUCUGAGUGCAGUGCAACCGUGCAGGAAAAAAAAAUGCAUGUUUGCUUUAUGAUUUUUUUUCUAUCGACCUGGCGUGCAGAUAUCUGAAGAAUCUUUGUGGCACAAGUAACAACAUAAAUGCAACUUUAAGGUAAUUACUGAAUUUAGUAAUACAUUCCAUCAAGUUACAGUACUGCACUUUUACCCUAACCUUUAGCAAAGCCUUCACCUUAAAAUUUGGUGAUAUAUGUUAUGGGGACUUAUUGACCUCACAAUGGAGGUAGCCCACAUAUUGUGACUGUGUGGCUUCAUGUCCCCAAAGCACAGUAUUAACACACACACACACACACACACACACACACACACACACACACACACACACACACACACACACACACACACACACACACACACACACACAGGUUUCAGAUACUCC